rnacentral:rRNA from 1 species
UACGUAGGGUGCGAGCGUUGUCCGGAAUUAUUGGGCGUAAAGGGCUCGUAGGCGGUUUGUCGCGUCGGGAGUGAAAACACCGGGCUUAACUCGGUGCUUGCUUUCGAUACGGGCAGACUAGAGGCAUGCAGGGGAGAACGGAAUUCCUGGUGUAGCGGUGAAAUGCGCAGAUAUCAGGAGGAACACCGAUGGCGAAGGCAGGUCUCUGGGCAUUAACUGACGCUGAGGAGCGAAAGCAUGGGGAGCGAACAGG